rnacentral:lncRNA from 1 species
CUUGAUUCUGCAGCUUGCUGUCACAUAGGUCCCUGACUCGGGAUUAAAUACAAAUAAGUUCCUGACUCUGCACUUCCGUUAUCACUUUAAUCCCUGACGUUAAAAAAAUCUGUUAAGUGAUGAUGUGGUGCAUAUGAGGUGUCACAGGGACCAAAGUGAAACUAGAAAAUGGUCACUUUGGUCCCUGAACCAAAAAUCAAUAUCCCCAAAUUGAAUAUCAAAUCCCUAAAUCUUAAAUCCUUAACUGUCAUCUAAUAUCUUUUUUGUUCAAAAUAAAUCUUCCAUUAAACACCAACCUACUGUUAGGUCCCUGACUAAGCAUAUUUACUAUCAGUUAGGUCCCUGAUAGUAAACACAAAAUUUCACUAAAGUCCCUGGCUAUUAGGGACCUUUUUAGCUUGAAAGCUGAUCUUGAGGCAAUGAUAUGUUGGGCUAAGGUUUGGAGUUUUAUAGUAGUGACAUAGUGUUGUGGUUCUGUUACCUCUUUCUCCCUUUAGUAUAUUAAUGGCAUCAGGAUUACAUAUAUAGAUAAAUGAAUUAUGAACGGUGUGUUUAAUUAUAAUCCAUGUAAGUAUUUUAAAGUCAUAGCUUGAUUUUUGAUGUGUCUUUCAACAACAAUAUCCAAUUUUUGGUGGAGAGAUGUGAAUAACUAAUGCAUUGAUGCUAAUAGAUUUGCUAAUUCAUUGUCAGAGACCUAACUGAUAGUAAGUAUGCACAGCCAGAGACCUAACAGUAAGUCGUGUUUAAUGGAAGAUUAAUUUUGAACAAAAGAGAGAAUUAUAUGACAUUUAGGGAUUUGAGAUUUAAGGAUUUAGAAAUUUGAUAUUCAAUUUGGGAAUAUUGAUACACACUAAAGUGACAUAUACACACUAUUUCUUUGCCUUUAUUGAGUGUGAAAUUAUCCGUCAUGAGACCGUUUCUGUAUGAGUUAUAUUCAGUCUUGUGACGGUGAUAGAGCUAAAAGAAAGGGUUUUUGGUUAAAGAGGAAGAGGUUGUUGUCGUCGGUGAUCUCAGGUGGAGGAGGUGAGGCAGAGAAGGUGAGGCGAGAAUUAGUGAUGGACACGGUAAGGUCCAUACUUUCACUCCUCCAUCCAUCACUGGUUAAGGGACAUGAGGAUUCCCUGCUAAGUUAACCAGCCAACUUAAGGUUAUACAUAUAGUUGUCUUUGACCCUCG